CCUACGGGAGGCUGCAGUGGGGAAUAUUGCACAAUGGGCGCAAGCCUGAUGCAGCCAUGCCGCGUGUGUGAAGAAGGCCUUCGGGUUGUAAAGCACUUUCAGCGGGGAGGAAGGCGUUAAGGUUAAUAACCUUGGCGAUUGACGUUACCCGCAGAAGAAGCACCGGCUAACUCCGUGCCAGCAGCCGCGGUAAUACGGAGGGUGCAAGCGUUAAUCGGAAUUACUGGGCGUAAAGCGCACGCAGGCGGUCUGUCAAGUCGGAUGUGAAAUCCCCGGGCUCAACCUGGGAACUGCAUUCGAAACUGGCAGGCUAGAGUCUUGUAGAGGGGGGUAGAAUUCCAGGUGUAGCGGUGAAAUGCGUGGAGAUCUGGAGGAAUACCGGUGGCGAAGGCGGCCCCCUGGACAAAGACUGACGCUCAGGUGCGAAAGCGUGGGGAGCAAACAGGAUUAGAUACCCGAGUAGUC
rnacentral:rRNA from 1 species